GAUGAAGAACGUAGCGAAAUGCGAUAAGUAAUGUGAAUUGCAGAAUUCAGUGAAUCAUCGAAUCUUUGAACGCACAUUGCGCCCGCCAGUAUUCUGGCGGGCAUGCCUUUUCGAGCGUCAUUUCAACCAUCAAGCCCCCGGCUUGUGUUGGGGACCUGCGGCUGCCGCAGGCCCUGAAAACCAGUGGCGGGCUCGCUAGUCACUCCGAGCGUAGUAAUACAUCUCGCUCAGGGCGUGCUGCGGGUUCCGGCCGUUAAAAAGCCUUAUUUACCCAAGGUUGACCUCGGAUCAGGUAGGAAGACCCGCUGAACUUAAGCAUAUCAAUAAGCGGAGGA
rnacentral:misc_RNA from 1 species